rnacentral:rRNA from 1 species
AGUGAACGCUGGCGGUAGGCCUAACACAUGCAAGUCGAACGGCAGCACAGUAAGAGCUUGCUCUUACGGGUGGCGAGUGGCGGACGGGUGAGGAAUACAUCGGAAUCUACUUUUUCGUGGGGGAUAACGUAGGGAAACUUACGCUAAUACCGCAUACGACCUACGGGUGAAAGCAGGGGAUCUACGGACCUUGCGCGAUUGAAUGAGCCGAUGUCGGAUUAGCUAGUUGGCGGGGUAAAGGCCCACCAAGGCGACGAUCCGUAGCUGGUCUGAGAGGAUGAUCAGCCACACUGGAACUGAGACACGGUCCAGACUCCUACGGGAGGCAGCAGCGGGGAAUAUUGGACAAUGGGCGCAAGCCUGAUCCAGCCAUACCGCGUGGGUGAAGAAGGCCUUCGGGUUGUAAAGCCCUUUUGUUGGGAAAGAAAAGCAGCAGGUUAAUACCCCGCUGUUCUGACGGUACCCAAAGAAUAAGCACCGGCUAACUUCGUG